GACGAACGCUGGCGGCGUGCUUAACACAUGCAAGUCGAACGGAAAGGCCCUUCGGGGUACUCGAGUGGCGAACGGGUGAGUAACACGUGGGUGAUCUGCCCUGCACUUUGGGAUAAGCCUGGGAAACUGGGUCUAAUACCGAAUAUGAUCAUGGCCUUCAUGGGUUGUGGUGGAAAGCUUUUGCGGUGUGGGAUGGGCCCGCGGCCUAUCAGCUUGUUGGUGGGGUAAUGGCCUACCAAGGCGACGACGGGUAGCCGGCCUGAGAGGGUGUCCGGCCACACUGGGACUGAGAUACGGCCCAGACUCCUACGGGAGGCAGCAGUGGGGAAUAUUGCACAAUGGGCGCAAGCCUGAUGCAGCGACGCCGCGUGAGGGAUGACGGCCUUCGGGUUGUAAACCUCUUUCAGCAGGGACGAAGCGCAAGUGACGGUACCUGUAGAAGAAGGACCGGCCAACUACGUGCCAGCAGCCGCGGUAAUACGUAGGGUCCGAGCGUUGUCCGGAAUUACUGGGCGUAAAGAGCUCGUAGGUGGUUUGUCGCGUUGUUCGUGAAAACUCACAGCUUAACUGUGGGCGUGCGGGCGAUACGGGCAGACUUGAGUACUGCAGGGGAGACUGGAAUUCCUGGUGUAGCGGUGGAGUGCGCAGAUAUCAGGAGGAACACCGGUGGCGAAGGCGGGUCUCUGGGCAGUAACUGACGCUGAGGAGCGAAAGCGUGGGGAGCGAACAGGAUUAGAUACCCUGGUAGUCCACGCCGUAAACGGUGGGUACUAGGUGUGGGUUUCCUUCCUUGGGAUCCGUGCCGUAGCUAACGCAUUAAGUACCCCGCCUGGGGAGUACGGCCGCAAGGCUAAAACUCAAAGAAAUUGACGGGGGCCCGCACAAGCGGCGGAGCAUGUGGAUUAAUUCGAUGCAACGCGAAGAACCUUACCUGGGUUUGACAUGCACAGGACGUGCCUAGAGAUAGGUAUUCCCUUGUGGCCUGUGUGCAGGUGGUGCAUGGCUGUCGUCAGCUCGUGUCGUGAGAUGUUGGGUUAAGUCCCGCAACGAGCGCAACCCUUAUCUUAUGUUGCCAGCGCGUAAUGGCGGGGACUCGUGAGAGACUGCCGGGGUCAACUCGGAGGAAGGUGGGGAUGACAUCAAGUCAUCAUGCCCCUUAUGUCCAGGGCUUCACACAUGCUACAAUGGCCGGUACAAAGGGCUGCGAUGCCGUGAGGUGGAGCGAAUCCUUUCAAAGCCGGUCUCAGUUCGGAUCGGGGUCUGCAACUCGACCCCGUGAAGUCGGAGUCGCUAGUAAUCGCAGAUCAGCAACGCUGCGGUGAAUACGUUCCCGGGCCU
rnacentral:rRNA from 1 species